rnacentral:rRNA from 1 species
GAUGAACGCUGGCGGCGUGCCUAAUACAUGCAAGUCGAGCGAACGGACGAGAAGCUUGCUUCUCUGAUGUUAGCGGCGGACGGGUGAGUAACACGUGGAUAACCUACCUAUAAGACUGGGAUAACUUCGGGAAACCGGAGCUAAUACCGGAUAAUAUUUUGAACCGCAUGGUUCAAAAGUGAAAGACGGUCUUGCUGUCACUUAUAGAUGGAUCCGCGCUGCAUUAGCUAGUUGGUAAGGUAACGGCUUACCAAGGCAACGAUGCAUAGCCGACCUGAGAGGGUGAUCGGCGACACUGGAACUGAGACGCGGUCCAGACUCCUACGGGAGGCAGCAGUAGGGAAUCUUCCGCAAUGGGCGAAAGCCUGACGGAGCAACGCCGCGUGAGUGAUGAAGGUCUUCGGAUCGUAAAACUCUGUUAUUAGGGAAGAACAUAUGUGUAAGUAACUGUGCACAUCUUGACGGUACCUAAUCAGAAAGCCACGGCUAACUACGUG